GUGAGUAAUCGAAUCUUUGAACGCACAUUGCGCCCGCUGGUAUUCCAGCGGGCAUGCCCGUUCGAGCGUCAUUUUAAUCCCUUCCCGGGAGACUCUUCUAUUCUGUAGUGGAGUGUCCGCGGGGCGUUGGCACUGGUCGCCUUAUUUUUUAGGCGGCCGGAGCCGAAAUGAAGCGGCGGACUCGCGGCGGCCCCUAGCGCAGUAGAACAACCCUUCUCGCUUAGGAGAGCUGCAGCGGCGGACCACAGCCCCUACAUGCUACAUAUAAAAACUUGACCUCGGAUCGGGUAGGACUACCCG
rnacentral:misc_RNA from 1 species